CAAGACCGUGCGCUUGUGGAGCGGCCGAUGUCGGAUUAGCUGGUUGGUGAGGUAAAGGCUUACCAAGGCGUCGAUCAGUAGCUGGUCUGAGAGGACGACGAGCCACACUGGGACUGAGACACGGCCCAGACUCCUACGGGAGGCAGCGGUGGGGGAUUUUGGACAAUGGGGUAAACCCUGAUCCAGCCAUGCCGCGUGAGUGAAGAAGGCCUUCGGGUUGUAAAGCUCUUUCAGCCGGAACGAAACGGUCACGGUUAAUACCCGUGACUACUGACGGUACCGGAAGAAGAAGCACCGGCUAACUACGUGCCAGCAGCCGCGGUAAUACGUAGGGUGCGAGCGUUAAUCGGAAUUACUGGGCGUAAAGCGUGCGCAGGCGGUUUUGUAAGUCAGAUGUGAAAUCCCCGGGCUUAACCUGGGAACU
rnacentral:rRNA from 1 species